CCCCUUUGACAAUGAGCAAAGAGACACCUUGUUGGUGGUGUUGUAUUCAUAUCAGUCAGCGACAGAGCAGAUGGUAGUCCUCUGUUCAUCCUGGCAUGACGCCUGACUUGGUAGCCAAAGGUGUUUUGUGCCCAGGACUCAUAA